rnacentral:snRNA from 1 species
AGUAAUCCAAAGAUAAAC